UACGAAGGGGGCUAGCGUUGCCCGGAAUUACUGGGCGUAAAGCGCGCGCAGGCGGCUUUGCAAGUCAGAUGUGAAAUCCCCGGGCUUAACCUGGGAACUGCAUUUGUGACUGCAUGGCUGGAGUGCGGCAGAGGGGGAUGGAAUUCCGCGUGUAGCAGUGAAAUGCGUAGAUAUGCGGAGGAACACCGAUGGCGAAGGCAAUCCCCUGGGCCUGCACUGACGCUCAUGCGCGAAAGCGUGGGGAGCAAACAGG
rnacentral:rRNA from 1 species